GCCUGCCAUGCACUCUCAGGGCUAAGGGCACAGACUUCCACCUCAGCGUUCUAACCCUAAGGCCGUGAGGCCUGGAACGCGCUCACACGGGCUUCCUUGGGUCAUCGCUGACGCUGCUCUGAGCAGGCCUUGUUGCAGGCACUGCCGGCAGUUCUGCACUGCGGAGCUGGGGGAUCGGGGCUAGCAGGCAUCUGGUACAUUCCCUGGGCACUGACGAUGCACCAGGCAGUCUGCACAGGAUGCAGCAGGGAAAAAGGGGUUAACAGUCCCUGACACUGUCGACAUUUUAUUAAACCAGGCCGCGGGUCUCUGGAAAAGCAGCGUUAAAGAACAUCAGAAAAGGUCUUAGAAAGGCCCGGCUGUCACGCUGGGCGCCCCUCGGCUCCCUCUGCAGUCAGUUUCCACGCCGGAGAUGUCAGAGGCUCUCUGCUUCAGCUAGAAGAGUCCUCGCCAAGGAUGCCAUCAGCCGCCCCAGGGCUCAUCUUUGCUAAGAGGAGGAAUACUCGCAAGCUUCAACCAUUUCCCAAAGGGAAACCAGAGAGAAGAUGGCCACAUUCAAGGCAACUAGACAAGAUACUGCAACCUGUUAGGAUAUCUCUGCAUUCUCCAUGUGGUGGUGCCUGAUUACCAGCUGUCAGUUUGCAUAUAUAGAGUGAGAAGCCCUCUGCCUAACACAGAAACUGAAAUAAAGUGGCAGUUAGCUCAAUUCCAUCCGUAAGUGUUCCUGGACACGGAAUAUAAUGAUGAAAGAUGAUCUGACUGCAAAUGCAUUCAGGAGGAGCGGUAUAUAAACAAGAAAAACUCUGGUGUGAAAGGAUGCAAAUCCCAGUGUUCUGAAGCACUGAAUAUGGAAAUGCGACCGUAUUUAAGUUAAAGCUGAUACUGCCAA